rnacentral:rRNA from 1 species
AUUGAACGCUGGCGGCAUGCCUAACACAUGCAAGUCGAACGGCAGCACAGCAGUAGCAAUACUGUGGGUGGCGAGUGGCGGACGGGUGAGGAAUACGUCGGAAUCUGCCCAGUCGUGGGGGAUAACUAGCCGAAAGGUUAGCUAAUACCGCAUACGACCGAGAGGUGAAAGCGGGGGACCGCAAGGCCUCGCGCGAUUGGAUGAGCCGACGUCGGAUUAGCUAGUUGGCGGGGUAAAGGCCCACCAAGGCGACGAUCCGUAGCUGGUCUGAGAGGAUGAUCAGCCACACUGGAACUGAGACACGGUCCAGACUCCUACGGGAGGCAGCAGUGGGGAAUAUUGGACAAUGGGCGCAAGCCUGAUCCAGCAAUGCCGCGUGUGUGAAGAAGG